rnacentral:rRNA from 1 species
AUUGAACGCUGGCGGCAUGCCUUACACAUGCAAGUCGAACGGCAGCAUGAUCUAGCUUGCUAGAUUGAUGGCGAGUGGCGAACGGGUGAGUAAUACAUCGGAACGUGCCCUGUAGUGGGGGAUAACUAGUCGAAAGAUUAGCUAAUACCGCAUACGACCUGAGGGUGAAAGUGGGGGACCGCAAGGCCUCAUGCUAUAGGAGCGGCCGAUGUCUGAUUAGCUAGUUGGUGAGGUAAAGGCUCACCAAGGCGACGAUCAGUAGCUGGUCUGAGAGGACGAUCAGCCACACUGGGACUGAGACACGGCCCAGACUCCUACGGGAGGCAGCAGUGGGGAAUUUUGGACAAUGGGCGAAAGCCUGAUCCAGCAAUGCCGCGUGUGUGAAGAAGGCCUUCGGGUUGUAAAGCACUUUUGUCCGGAAAGAAAUGGCUCUGGUUAAUACCUGGGGUCGAUGACGGUACCGGAAGAAUAAGGACCGGCUAACUACGUA